GACGAACGCUGGCGGCGUGCUUAACACAUGCAUGUCGAACGGUAAGGCCCUUCGGGGUACACGAGUGGCGAACGGGUGAGUAACACGUGGGUGAUCUGCCCUGCACUUUGGGAUAAGCCUGGGAAACUGGGUCUAAUACCGGAUAGGACCGCGCACUGAUGGUUUGUGGUGGAAAGCUUUUGCGGUGUGGGAUGGGCCCGCGGCCUAGCAGCUUGUUGGUGGGGUAAUGGCUUCACAAGGCGACGACGGGUAGCCGGCCUGAGAGGGUGUCCGGCCACACUGGGACUGAGAUACGGCCCAGACUCCUACGGGAGGCAGCAGUGGGGAAUAUUGCACAAUGGGCGCAGGCCUGAUGCAGCGACGCCGCGUGGGGGAUGACGGCCUUCGGGUUGUAAACCUCUUUCAGUAGGGACGAAGCGCAAGUGACGGUACCUACAGAAGAAGCACCGGCCAACUACGUGCCAGCCGCCGCAGUAA
rnacentral:rRNA from 1 species